AUGAACGCUGGCGGCGUGCCUAAUACAUGCCAGUCGAGCGAACGGACGAGAAGCUUGCUUCUCUGAUGUUAGCGGCGGACGGGUGAGUAACACGUUGAUAACCUACCUAUAAGACUGGGAUAACUUCGGGAAACCGGAGCUAAUACCGGAUAAUAUUUUGAACCGCAUGGUUCAAAAGUGAAAGACGGUCUUGCUUUCACUUAUAGAUGGAUCCGCGCUUCAUUAGCUAGUUGGUAAGGUAACGGCUUACCAAGGCAACGAUGCAUAGCCGACCUGAGAGGGUGAUCGGCCACACUGGAACUGAGACACGGUCCAGACUCCUACGGGAGGAAGCAGUAGGGAAUCUUCCGCAAUGGGCGAAAGCCUGAAGGAGCAACGCCGCGUGAGUGAUGAAGGUCUUCGGAUCGUAAAACUCUGUUAUUAGGGAAGAACAUAUGUGUAAGUAACUGUGCACAUCUUGACGGUACCUAAUCAGAAAGCCACGGCUAACUACGUG
rnacentral:rRNA from 1 species